AGCUAGUUGGUAGGGUAGUGGCCUACCAAGGCAACGACGGGUAGGGGGUCUGAGAGGAUGGUCCCCCACACUGGAACUGAUACACGGUCCAGACGCCUACGGGUGGCAGCAGGGAGGAAUAUUGCACAAUGGGCGAAAGCCCGAUGCAGCAACGCCGCGUGGAGGAUGAAGGCCUUCGGGUUGUAAACUCCUUUUGAGGGAGACGAGAAAGGACGGUAUCCCUUGAAUAAGCCACAGCUAACUACGUGCCAGCAGCCGCGGUAAAACGUAGGUGGCGAGCGUUAUCCGGAUUCAUUGGGCGUAAAGAGCUUGUAGGUGGCUUCGUAAGUUGGACGUGAAAUCUCCGGGCUUAACUUGGAGGGGCCGUUCAAUACUGCGGGGCUUGAGGAUGUCAGAGGGAAGUGGAAUUCCUGGUGUAGCAGUGAGAUGCGUAGAUAUCAGGAGGAACACCCGUGGCGAAGGCGGCUUCCUGGGGCAUUCCUGACACUGAGAAGCGAAAGCUAGGGGAGCAAACGGGAUUAGAAACCCCGGUAGUCCUAGCUGUAAACGAUGGAUGCUAGGUGUUGGCAGAUCUAACCCUGCCUGUGCCGAAGCUAACGCGUUAAGCAUCCCGCCUGGGAACUACGAGCGCAAGCUUAAAACUCAAAGGAAUUGACGGGGACCCGCACAAGCAGCGGAGCGUGUGGUUUAAUUCGAUCUACACGAAGAACCUCACCCAGGUUUGACAUACAGGUGGUAGUGAAGCGAAAGCGGAACGACCCGCAAGGGAGCCUGUACAGGUGUUGCAUGGCUGUCGUCAGCUCGUGUCGUGAGAUGUUGGUUUAAGUACCCUAACGAGCGCAACCCUCGUUGCCAGUUACAAGUGUCUGGCGAGACUGCCGGCCGCAAGCCGGAGGAAGGCGGGGAUGACGUCAAGUCGGCAUGGCCUUUAUAUCUGGGGCUACACACACGCUACAAUGGGUAGUUACAAUGGGUUGCCAAACCGUGAGGCGGAGCCAAUCCCACAAAGCUAUCCUCAGUUCAGAUUGCAGGCUGCAACCCGCCUGCAUGAAGUCGGAGUUGCUAGUAAACGCGCGUCAGCUAUAGUGCGUUGAAUACGUUCCCGGGUCUUGUACACACCGCCCGUCACACUAUGGGAGCUGGCAACACCUGAAGCCAGUUGCGUAACCGCAAGGGGCGCGCUGCCAAAGGUGGGGCUGGUGACUGGAGUGAAGUCGUAACAAGGUAGCUGUACGGAUCGUGCGGCUGG
rnacentral:rRNA from 1 species